rnacentral:rRNA from 1 species
CCUACGGGAGGCUGCAGUGGGGAAUUGUUCACAAUGGGCGCAAGCCUGAUGACGCAACGCCGCGUGGAGGAUGAAGGUCUUCGGAUUGUAAACUCCUGUUGCGGAAGGUGCGGUACCGGGUGAGGAAGCCCCGGCUAACUCUGUGCCAGCAGCCGCGGUAAUACAGAGGGGGCAAGCGUUGUUCGGAAUUACUGGGCGUAAAGGGCGCGUAGGCGGCCUGUUAAGUCGAACGUGAAAUCCCCAAGCUCAACUUGGGAACUGCGUCCGAUACUGGCAGGCUUGAAUUCGGGAGAGGGAUGUGGAAUUCCAGGUGUAGCGGUGAAAUGCGUAGAUAUCUGGAGGAACACCGGUGGCGAAGGCGGCAUCCUGGACCGAUUGACGCUGAGGCGCGAAAGCCAGGGGAGCAAACGGGAUUAGAUACCCUUGUAGUC